rnacentral:rRNA from 1 species
AUUGAACGCUGGCGGAAUGCUUUACACAUGCAAGUCGAACGGCAGCACGGACUUCGGUCUGGUGGCGAGUGGCGAACGGGUGAGUAAUGUAUCGGAACGUGCCCAGUCGUGGGGGAUAACGUAGUGAAAAUUACGCUAAUACCGCAUACGAUCUAUGGAUGAAAGCGGGGGAUCGCAAGACCUCGCGCGAUUGGAGCGGCUGAUAUCAGAUUAGGUAGUUGGUGGGGUAAAGGCCCACCAAGCCAACGAUCUGUAGCUGGUCUGAGAGGACGACCAGCCACACGGGAACUGAGACACGGUCCAGACUCCUACGGGAGGCAGCAGUAGGGAAUUUUGGACAAUGGGCGAAAGCCUGAUCCAGCCAUUCCGCGUGCAGGAUGAAGGCCCUCGGGUUGUAAACUGCUUUUGUACAGAACGAAAAGGUUUCUACUAAUACUAGGAGCUCAUGACGGUACUGUAAGAAUAAGCACCGGCUAACUACGUGCCAGCCGCCGCCGUAA